GAUGAACGCUGGCGGCGUGCCUAAUACAUGCAAGUCGAGCGAACAGACGAGGAGCUUGCUCCUCUGACGUUAGCGGCGGACGGGUGAGUAACACGUGGAUAACCUACCUAUAAGACGGGGAUAACUUCGGGAAACCGGAGCUAAUACCGGAUAAUAUAUUGAACCGCAUGGUUCAAUAGUGAAAGACGGUUUUGCGGUCACGUAUAGAUGGAUCCGCGCCGCAUUAGCUAGUUGGUAAGGUAACGGCUUACCAAGGCGACGAUGCGUAGCCGACCUGAGAGGGUGGUCGGCCACACUGGAACUGAGACACGGUCCAGACUCCUACGGGAGGCAGCAGUAGGGAAUCUUCCGCAGUGGGCGAAAGCCUGACGGAGCAACGCCGCGUGAGUGAUGAAGGUCUUCGGUUCGUAAAACUCUGUUAUUAGGGAAGAACAAAUGUGUAAGUAACUAUGCACGUCUUGACGGUACCUAAUCAGAAAGCCCCGGCUAACUACGUG
rnacentral:rRNA from 1 species